rnacentral:rRNA from 1 species
CCAGACUCCUACGGGAGGCAGCAGUAAGGGAUAUUGGUCAAUGGGGGAAACCCUGAACCAGCAACGCCGCGUGAGGGAAGACGGUUUUCGGAUUGUAAACCUCUGUCCUCUGUGAAGAUGAUGACGGUAGCAGAGGAGGAAGCUCCGGCUAACUACGUGCCAGCAGCCGCGGUAAUACGGAGGAUGCGAGCGUUAUCCGGAUUUAUUGGGUUUAAAGGGUGCGUAGGCGGGCUUUUAAGUCAGCGGUAAAAAUUCGGGGCUCAACCCCGUCCGGUCGUUGAAACUGGGGGCCUUGAGUGGGCGAGAAGAAGGCGGAAUGCGUGGUGUAGCGGUGAAAUGCAUAGAUAUCACGCAGAACCCCGAUUGCGAAGGCAGCCUUCCGGCGCCCUACUGACGCUGAGGCACGAAAGUGCGGGGAUCGAACAGGAUUAGAUACCCCAGUAU